rnacentral:tRNA from 1 species
GGAGAGGUGCGUGAGCGGCUUAAACGGCACGCUUGGAAAGCGUGUGUACUUAACGGUACCCUGGGUUCGAAUCCCAGCCUCUCCGCCA